rnacentral:tRNA from 1 species
GGGCAUUUAGUUUAGCGGUAUGAUUUUUGCUUUGGAUGCAGGAAGUCCUUGAGUUUGAUUCUCAAAAUGCCCU